GUCUUCCAGGCCCCGUUGGACCCAAAGGAGACCAAGGCAUCCAAGGAUUUCCUGGUGCUCCAGCUAUGGGGGUGGUGGGACCUUCUGGCAAAAAAGGGGCC